UACGUAGGGUGCAAGCGUUGUCCGGAAUUAUUGGGCGUAAAGAGCUCGUAGGCGGUUUGUCGCGUCUGCUGUGAAAACCUAGGGCUCAACCCUGGGCCUGCAGCCGAUACGGGCAGACUAGAAUUCGGUAGGGGAGACUGGAAUUCCUGGUGUAGCGGUGAAAUGCGCAGAUAUCAGGAGGAACACCGGUGGCGAAGGCGGGUCUCUGGGCCGAUAUUGACGCUGAGGAGCGAAAGCGUGGGGAGCGAACAGG
rnacentral:rRNA from 1 species